UUGUGUCUUGAGCAGUUAAAAGAUAGAACAGUCUAGUCAAGCGCCAUGUCUCUUCUUCUUGAGUAACUAUAGCUCUGGAGUUUUUGCAGAUUUUCAAAUAAAACUCAGAGAUUUCUUGUAUGACUCUCUCAAUUCUCUCUUUUGUGGUAUUUCUGGAUCCUUUCCAAGGCAGUAAUGGUAUAUGCCUUCUCUCAAAGUAUUUGGUAUUUUUGGUAUGAGGCAUAGUGAUAUUGCCUUCUCUCUCACCCUACUCUAAUAAGGUUUUGAUAUCUGGAGCUCAUAGGUGGGAGACAGCUAAUACAUACUUACAAGACAUUUAUUGCAUAGUCAAACCAUGGAUCCAGAGAAACAAGUCAAUAAGUCAAUAUCAAGAUGUGCAUGUGUGGCGAAUGAAUGAUGUAUGGUGAUGAUGGUGAUAAUGGUGAAAGUCUAAUUCUACGUUUGAUCUUUUGAGGGGAUACAUACCUUUCUAGCACGUUGAAGCUUUUUGAGGGGAAUGAGAUGCUCUAUAUUUUCUUUUUAUUUUCUCUCAGGUGGGUAUCUUGUACCCCUAAUUCUACUAUCGAACACUUGUCCAUUUUUACCUCUCGUCUCACUUUUUCUUUUCUUCAAGGUUCCGGGCACUUGCCCCUUUUUAUUUCCUCGUAUUCACUUUUUCUUCUCUUUUUUUAGAGCACUCACCCUCCUGGAAUAAUGUAGCAAGUGGUAGUAACCAAAAUAUCUCGAGCAUUUAUUUCACGGGGAAUAACAGGGAUAGAAUAAUGUUUUUGGCUAUUCUCUCCUUGAUAGGAGUAGAAUAAUUUUGGGUGAAUUUGGAGAUGGAAAGGAGUGGAUGUAUGUGGAUGCGUACUUCCGGAGUAGAAGUAGCAUGUAUGAGUGAACGUGCAAGUGAAUCUUGAUUUUAACUACAUGACAAGCUCCUAAGGGU
rnacentral:lncRNA from 1 species